ACGCACGGCCGGCGGGGCCGGCGCUCCAGGCCGUUGAUCUCCCCGCCCGGAUCGCGCAGGAUCGCGAGCGUUGGGAGUAAACACCCCGCAUGGAGAUCCAGGCGUGUUCGCCGCGGAGGCGCCGUUAUCCCGGACCGGGCGGACCCGAGCGUGAGGCCGCCGCAGGGCACAGGCUCCAGACGCGCAGGCUCAGUAGUUGUGGCUCACGGGCCCAGUUGCUCCGCGGCACGUGGGAUCUUCCCAGACCAGGGCUCGAACCCGUGUCCCCUGCAUUGGCAGGCAGAUUCUCAACCACUGCACCACCAGGGAAGCCCAACAUGGCCCAGUGAAAUUCUACUGAGAUGAACCUGAAAGUGAGUGCGGUCAAUUUUGUGUCUGUACUCACCACGGCUUAUAUAUCACUACCCCCACCGCCCACUCAGCCUUCAGCAAUUCCUUAGAAAACUUCAUCUGAAAGCUCCUUACCUUGUCCUACGGUCACCGACUUCCUCCCAUCCUCUGACCCAGGACUUCCAAAACUAUGUUGAAUAAAAGUGGUGAGAGUGGGGCUUCCCUGGUGGCGCAGUGGUUGAGAAUCUGCCUGCCAAUGCAGGGGACACGGGUUCAAGCCCUGGUCUGGGAAGAUCCCACAUGCCGCGGAGCAACUAAGCCCAUGUGCCACAACUACGGAGCCUGCGCAUCUGGAGCCUGUGCUCUGCAACAAGAGAGACCGCAAUAGUGAGAGGCCCGUGCACCGCGAUGAAGAGUGGCCCCGCUUGCCGCAACUAGAGAAAGCCCUCGCACAGAAACAAAGACCCAACACAGCCAAAAAUUAAUUAAUUAAUUAAUUAAUUUUUUAAAAAAAGUGGUGAGAGUGGACGUCCUUGUCUUGUUCUUGAUCUUAGAGGAAAUGCUUGUAGUUUUUCACCAUUGACGAUGUUUUCUGUGGGUUUGUCGUAUAUGGUCUUUAUUAUGUUGAGGUAGGUUCCCUCUAUGCCCACUUUCUGGAGAGUGUUUAUCAUAAAUAGAUUACGACUUUUGUCAAAAGCUUUUUCUGCAUCUAUUUUGAUGAUUAUAUAUAUAUGGUUUUUAUUCUUCAAUUAGUUGAUGUGGUGUAUCACACUGAUUGAUUUGAAAAUAUUGAAAAAUCUUUGCAUCCCUGAGAUAAAUCUCAAUUGAUCAUGGUGUAUGAUCCUUUUAAUGUGCUGUUGGACUCUAUUUGCUAGUAUUUUGUUGAACAGCUCAUGCAGUUCAAUAUCAAAAAAAACAAAAACAAAAAACCGAACAACCCAAUCAAAAAAUGGGCAGAAUAUCUAAAUAGACAUUUCUCCAAAGAAGACAUACAGUUGGCCAAGAGGCACAUGAAAAGAUGCUCAGUAUUACUAACUAUUAGAGAAAUGCAAAUCAAAACUAUAAUGAGGUAUCACCUCACACAAGUCAGAAUGGCCAUCAUCAAAAAAUCUAGAAGAAAUAAAUGCUGGAGAGGGUGUGGUGAAAAGGGAACCCUCCUACACUGUUGCUGGAAAUGUAAACUGGUACUGCCACUAUGGAGAGGCACUAUGGACAGUAUGGGGAGGUUCCUUAAAAAACUAAAAAUAGAGCUACCAUAUGACCCAGCAAUCCCACUAUUGGGCAUAUAUCAGGAGAAAACUCUAAUUCGAGAAGAUACAUGCUCCCCAAUGUUCACUGCAGCACUAUUUACAAUAGCCAGGACAUGGAAGCAACUGAAAUAUCCAUCAACAGAGGAAUGGAUAAAGAAGUUGUGGUACAUAUAUACAAUGGAAUAUUACUCAGCCAUAAAAAAAGAAUGAAAUAAUGCCAUUUGCAGCAACAUGGGUGCACCCAGAGAUUGUCAUACUGAGUGAAGUAAGUCAGACAGAGAAAGAAAAAUAUCAUAUGAAGAAUCCUAAAAAAGGGUACAAAUGAACUUAUCUACAAAACAGAAAUAGAGUUACAGAUGUAGAAAACAAACUUAUGGUUACCAGGGUGUAAGGGGGGGGAGGGAAAAAUUGGAAGAUUGAGAUUGACAUAUACACACUACUAUAUAUAAAAUAGAUAACUAAUAAUGACCUAUUGUAUAGCACAGGGAACUCUAUUCAAUACUCUGUAAUGAUCUACAUGGGAAUAGAAUCUAAAAAAGAGUGGAUAUAUGUAUAUGUAUAACAGAUUCACUUUGCUGUACACCUUGAAACUAACACAACAUUGUAUAUCAGCUAUACUCCAUUAAAAUUUUUUUAAAAAAAUAAAAAUGAAAAGAAAGGGAGAAAGAGAUAUAAAGAUGGGGAGAGGGGAGAGGGAGGAAUAUAAUAAGGUUAGGUGGUUUGACAAAAAUGCAGACCCUCGAUGGCAUAAAAUCUGAAUGGUUUUAUUGUUUUUAGAACCUCGAUUCCCUUUGCAUCUUGUUUUCUUGUGUACACUGACAGAUCUCUUACUUUCUCAAGGAUUUGUGUAUUCAUUGACGGGGAUGUAUGUCAAUACAGAUUUGUAUUUAUUUAUUUACAUAUUUAUUUAUAUUUAUUGAUAUUUCUCAUUCCUAAUUCUUGCUCUUGGUGGUGGGUGGUGGAGUGUUUGUGUGGUGUGUAUGUUUGUUUGUGUUUGUGUUUGAGUUUGGAUUUUUUUUCUGGUAUUAUAAAGGGAGGUAUUCAUUUCACUGAGUUUUUGACAUGUAGAUAUGAGAUAAACUUCUCCUAAGUUUAAUCAAAUAGCAUCUGGUACCAGUGGCUAUUUAGGAAAGUUCGCCUGCUCCAUAGGAAAAGAGACAUUCAUUUUAAAAAGUGAGUCAUGGAGCUAUUCCUAGUCCUUUUAUUUGCUUUUAGAAUCCAAACCACCGUUGAGACAUGUCACAGGAAAAGAAUUAUCAUCGCCUAUAAUUAGACAUUGAAUAUACUGACUCAUGAGAAGUUUUUGGGCGUCCAAGGCAUCAAUAAGUCAAUUAUGUUUCUAAUCUUUAUAACUCUACUGAAACAGUGCUGCUGAGAGUCAUUACUCUUGACUAAUAGCAAAGCAUAAUUAUUAGAAGAAAAAGCAUGUAUUUCUAUUUGAUUUCUAACUGCAUGCACGUAUGCCAAUUGCCAUAGAGUCUAUUCAGCUGGACAUCUGGGACAUGGGGCUGCAUUUUUACAGCUGCUCCAGACAGAAAAUCUUCUCCAUGUCAAUAUAUUCAGUACAGCCAAGCUACAAAGAUGACCAUUUUCACUUGGCAGACCUCUGAACUUUCCUUCCUUCCUUGUGCCUUAAUGAAAUGAUAGAUCUUAGUGGAAUCUAUACCACCAGCAGUUUCAGUUCCCAUAAAUAAGCCUUUCAGUAUGAAAUUGCUUUUAUUUUGAUUUCAAGCUUCACCUUUUCUACAUCCAGAAAUUUGCCAAAAUAAACUUUGAAAAAUUGUGACUCUCUACCGUAUUUUCUCCGUCCCCCAAACUGAUGACAUUUAGUUUAUACUGCAUCCUCCUAUUCUCAUUUGUAUUGAAAUGCUCUACUACUUACUUUGUAAUAGCAAAUGAGGCUUGCAGAAAACUCCAUCCAGAGAGUCAUGUUCUUCUAUAAAUGUGAUAAUUGCCCCCAUUUGACUACUGAUUCAUUUGGCCUUCAUAUGGGUAAUUAAGAACCACAGAGCUGUGGUAAUCAUCUGACCACAUGGUAUUCUGAACAUUUGCAACAUCCUAUUUAAAACAUACCAAUUAAAUACAUACUGCAAAAGAUUUUUUUAAGUCAAAAUGUGAUCAUUAUUUUUUUAAAAAUUUACACUUGAAGGUUGAAACUAGCUACC